UGGGGGCACAGUGGCAUAUUAGGGGUUGGAGUGGCAUAUCAUGAGCACAGUGGCAUAUAAGUGUCUAUAAGGCAUAACUGGGGGCACAGUGGCGUAUCAGGGGGCAGAGUGGCAUAUAGGGGGAUAUAAGGCAUAUCUGGGGUAGAAAGUGGCAUAUAGGGAAAUAUAAGGCAUAUCUGGGGGGCAGAGUGGCAAGCCUGGGGUCAGAUAUGCAUUACUGGGGGGCAGGUUGGCAAAUAAGAAAAAUAAAAACAAGAAAUACAUUUUUCUCAAUUAUACUUUUUAUUAAAUAUGAAAACAUA